GGGGGUAGAUGCUCAGUGUUUGAGCAUCUGCUCAGCAUGCAGAGGGUGCCGGGUUCAAGUCACAGUAUCUCCA